AGAGAGAUAAAAAAAAAAAGAAUGAAUCUCAUUCCUUUUGUAACAGACAGAAAGUGCCAUGUCUGUUUAACUGAGCAGGCCUGUUCUGUGACCUUAUACUUUAAACAAAACUAUUGACAUUAGUUAUAAUGAGUAAUAAUGCUCAGAUAUGCUUGGAAUUUGGAUCUCUUCCCAGCACACAAUGCCACAAUCUACAAUUCAGGUGGAGAGUUUCUGGAAAUGUCCCAGUCUUGUUGAUUAAGUCUUUUAUGGAAUGUUGUUUAUGGAAAACGUGAGUGGUGCUUACCAGUGCAAAAGUUGCAACCACAAUGCUAGGGUGUUGUGGUUGUUAAACUACUGAUCUAAGUAAAAAAAAAAAAAAGCCCCUAAAAUAUUCUGAUCCCUUUAUAUGGCUUCAAUGUCAAGUGUAUGGGGGUUUUAUAGUCAGAUAGGUGGUAAAAGCGUGGUCAACAUGAGCAAAGUCAAUAAUGAUGCACAAAGCACUGCUAAGAUAGAGGACACUUUCAAGCCAAACAGCUUUUUGUUGGUCAUUGCGGCAAAUUCGUGUGACCAUCUUAAACCCAAUGACAUUUUUCACCCUCAAUCAAAAUGUCUGGUUGCACAAAUUCCUAUUGAAAUUUUGCAGAGCAAUGGUAAUUGUGAAUACACCUUACAAAAAUAAUAAAUCUUUCCUCAACAGCUCAAGCAUAAACAAAGAAGUUGAAUAAUUAGUCAUAGAAGCUUGUUCAAAUAGUAAUAGUGAUGUUUGUCUUAGCAAGAAAAACUAUGUAUAAAAGCUUUGAGAUUUUUUAGCCUGAUAUUUUAUUCAUCAAAGAUAUUUCAAACUUGCUGAUUUGAACACAUUGGUUCAGGGUAAGUAUCACUUAUAAAAUGGAUGAAGCCCUAUCAGUGACCCUAUCAGUGGAAUAGAGAAAAGGCAUAUUAUUGCUCUUUUACAAUUUUGGGACGUUUUUUUUUUUAAAAUUUGAAUAAAAUGAAAACUAAAAGACUUUCAAAUCACAUGUGCCAAUAUUUUAUUCACAAUAGAACAUAGAUAACAUAACAAAUGUUUAAACUGAGAAAUUUUACAGUUUUAUCCACUAAAUGAGCUCAUUUCAAAUUUAAUGCCUGCUACAGGUCUCAAAAAAGUUGGCACGGGGGCAACAAUUGGCUGAAAAAGCAAGAAAUUUUGAAAAGAUUCAGCUGGGAGAACAUCUAGCAACUAAUUAAGUUAACUGAUAUCAGGUCUGUAACAUGAUUAGCUAUAAAAGGGAUGUCUUAGAGAGGCAGAGUCUCUCAGAAGUAAAGAUGGGCAGAGCUGUGAAAGAGUGUGUAAAAAGAUUGUGGAGUACAAAACACAAUCCUCAACAUCAACGUAAAAACAAUGUUCCUCAACGUCAAUUUGCAAAGGCUUUGCAAAUCUCAUCAUCUACAGUGCAUAACAUCAUCAAAAGAUUCAGAGAAACUGGAGAAAUCUCUGUGCGUAAGGGACAAGGCCGAAGACUUUUAUUGAUGCCCUUCGGGUCCUCAGACGACACUCAUCGGCAUGAUUGUGUUGAUGACAUUACUAAAUGGGCCCAGGAAUACUUCCAGAAACCACUGUCGGUAAACACAAUCCGCUGUGCCAUCUGCAGAUGCCAACUAAAGCUCUAUCAUGCAAAAAGGAAGCCAUAUGUGAACAUGGUCCAGAAGUGCUGUCGUGACCUGUGGGCCCAUUUAAAAUGGACUGUUUCAAAGUGGAAAAGUGUUCUAUGGUCAGACGAGUCCAAAUUUGACAUUCUUGUUGGAAAUCACGGACGCCGUGUCCUCCGGGCUAAAGAGGAGGGAGACCUUCCAGCGUGUUAUCAGCGUUCAGUUCAAAAGCCAGCAUCUCUGAUGGUAUGGGGGUGCAUAAGUGCAUACGGUAUGGGCAGCUUGCAUGUUUUGGAAGGCACUAUGAAUGCUGAAAGGUAUAUAAAGGUUUUAGAGCAACAUGCUCUCCUCCAGACAAUGUCUAAGGCCUUGUGUAUUUGAGCAGGACAAUGCAAAACCACAUACUGCAGCUAUUAUAACAGCAUGGCUUCGUCGUAGAAGAGUCCGGGUGCUGAAUUGGCCUGCCUGCAGUCCAGAUCUUUCACCUAUAGAGAAAAAUACGUCAAAGACGACCACAAACUCUUUAGCAGCUGGAAACAAACCUAUAUCAGGCAAGAAUUGGACCAAAUUUCAACACUAAAACUCCAGAAGUUCAUAACUUCGAUGCCCAGACGUCUUCACACUGUUUUAAAAAGAAGAGGAGAUGCUACACCAUGGUAAACAUGCCCCCAUCCCAACUAUUUUGAGACCUGUAGCAGGCAUCAAAUUUGAAAUGAGCUCAUUUUGUGCAAAAAAUUGUAAAAUUUCUCAGUUUAAACGCUUAUGUUAUCUAUGUUCUAUUGUGAAUAAAAUAUUGGCUCGUGUGAUUUGAAAGUCUUUUAGUUUUCAUUUUAUUCAAAUUUAAAAAAACGUCCCAACAUUUCCGGAAUUCAGGUUGUAAUAUUAACAGCAAAUUUACUUCUUUAUGGAAGUUUCCCUUUGAGGAAUCAAAGCUGUACGCUCAGUCCAAAAUAGCGCAUUUCUGGUUUAAGGUCGGUGCUGUCCAAGCUGUUUUUUUUCUGAAUCAUUCUCUUUCAUCUGUUUCCUGUUUUGAGUAAGGCUACAUUGCAUUUGCAGGUGGUGGGAAAUCUCACACUCACACUCCUCACCCACUUUAUGCCCCACAGAAAACACUGCAGAAGCAAAAACAUCUGCCGUAGUCUGUGGGAGAACACUGAAUUAAAUCUAAAGCCCAGAGCCAAACACAAAUAUACAUGCUCAGGGUUUUUUUAGGGUCUUUCCUGGGUCUGUUGGUGCAUGUGGCUGCUGUCAGCCACUCUGUGUGUGAAGCCCGUGAGAGCUGGAAUUAUACAAGAGGUCACACGACUCAAGCUGUGAGAGAGUGCUGUAGGGAAACAAGCACAGGCCUGAUAUGACUGUCCUUAAAUAAGAUCUGUGCACCACCUUUUGGACUUUAGCUGGGCCAAGCAAAUUAAAAACACCUCAAUAACAGUAAACCGGGGUAGCCAACUCUGCUCCUGGAGGGCUACCUUGAUGCAGAGUUCAUUUCUAAGCCUUUUCUUCAACAUACCUGCCUGUAAUUUUCAAGUAAUCCUGAACAGCUUGAUUAGCUAGUGUGUUUGAUUAGCUAAACUCUGCAGGAUGGUACAGUAGUAGGGUUGGAUACUUCAGCAGUAGAAGGUGUCAGAUCUAUCAACUAGUUUCUGAAAUCUUGUCACUUCCUGUAGAUUUCGCAAAAUGUGGCUUGGAGUUUACUGAGGAAAAGAAAAAGAUUAAGAGGCAUCAAAAACAUUGGGCCAGAACAUAUUUGUUGGGAUGUGGAUUCUCUGCUAAACUUCCACCUUACUGCUAAGGCCAUGAGAGCCUGCCCACUAAGAGUCAACAAGAAAAUUCCAAAUUAUUCAUUGUUCCCUGAGGCUGUGAAGACUCGGUAGGGCCGUUAACUCAGCAGGGAGUUGAUAUAUUGGGCAGUUAACUUCCCCCUGCUGACAAACACAUUUGUGUGCACCCACUCCCUUCAUUUUCAAAUCCUUAUGUAAAUUAGGCUAAUGGCAAAGGGAAAAUGGUUAGUAAACUGUUAGCUUUUAAGGAUCUUCAGCAGAAGUGUUUAUGCGAUUUGAAAGGCUUUAUGUGAUAAACCCAUCCUGAAUGAGUAACCUACUGCUCUUAUUUGAAAGCUUGGACUAGCUUCAUUGUCACCUAAGCCUGAUUCCUGCUCUUCAGCCUAUGUUUCGUCCACAGAAAGAUGCUCAGGGUUGUUUUAGGAUGCAGAUGAACCUACCUUGGGUCAUAGUGUGACCCAAAAACGGCUCCAGAGGUUUGAGUGUAAGUCAGAAGUGCAUUUUAUUUCAGCCCCUCUGCUAACACUUUGAGUUAGCCUGACGAGAACUGGCAUUCUUUUAACUGUAACCUAGUUUGCCCUGAGAGUUUAUGUAGUGGCUCUUUCCACCUGAAUGUGUGUGUCCUAGCUUAACCCACCCUUUCUAGAAAUGUAGCUAAAUCUCCUCAACACAUUCAAUGCUGCUUUCCAGUUACUAAUAAUCUACACAGGAGCCUUGCUGCACAACACAGUUUGAUUUCAGGCAGAAAUAUCUGCUUUCAUUUCUUGGACAGCUUUGAUGUGGCAGCAAUGUCCUUAGUUGACUCUUAAGGUGAAGAUACACGGGGCAACUUUUUGGGCAAUGUUGCUGCCUACGGGCAACCUGGUGAGACACAUGGCAACUAAUUAGGGCAACGGACAGUUGGCAGCAACCAAUCAGAGAGGAGCAAAUCUAUUGCCAACCCAAUAAAUACUUUAUUAUAAACACUUGUUAGGCAGACGAGUAAGUUUGGCAAAAGGCGGAUUCGAAUCCACAUCAAAAGAUACCUUCCUGUGCCAUACACCCUACAGCCUACACCACUACAGAUGUUAAAAGACAGCAUCUUUUUAGUAUUUAACUGAAAACAUUCGAUGGCUAAAUUACAGCCUACGCACAUUCAAUUUUACACCUGUUGGUAUUUUAAGCAUUAAAUGAGGUAAAUUCCCUGUUUUGGGUUGACAACCAGCGUUAAAUGAAGUUUAUCCUUAUCCUUAUCCGUUAAAAGAUAUAAGUUCACGCUCCUUUUCUUCGCUCCACUGCCACUGAGAGGCCGCCAUUUUGUUUGAAUUUUUUCUGAAAUCUCCAAGCCGGUCACGUAAUCGGCUGCUAGCAUUCUGAUUGGAGGAUCUCAAAAAAUUGCCAACAACCGAUCUGAAGUAUCCAGAUAGAAAUUUGUUGCUCAUUCUCAAUGGGAAAGUGCCCAAGCAACAUUGCUCAAAAAGUUGCCCUUUAAAGUCUUGAGAAAAACAGAAUGCUUAUUUACUUAAAAUGGGAAUGGGAAUCUGUUUUAUUUCAUCAAAUGAUGCAUCUGUUUCAGGACAUAGAUGUUCCCUCAAGUCUGACCUUCAGCCCCCAUCACCAUGAUGACUUAAUUUCCAAUGACUGCAAUGUCUAAUGCACUCUCACGGGCAUCACACCUUCAAAUAAAGGUGCCAAACCCUUUUUGGUAUUUCCUUUGGCUGGAACUUCACAAACUGAGAGUUUGCCUUGUGCAUCCAGCUGAAUCCCUAUUGUUUAUUUUGAAGGAGAGUUGCUGUAGUUGUACACAGAUGAAAUAUCAUCCAGGCUGUGCCUCUAAUGACACAGCACUUCAGAGAGCUGUUAUACAGUGACCUCACUAUCACUGUGUAAGUGAGAUGGAAUAUUAAUGAUGGUGCUGUACCACCUUUGUUUUCAACUCUUCUCCCACUGUAGAGUGCUUGCGCAGGCCGCUGGCUAUGUUUGCGUUUUAUUUGUGACGUCUGUUGAAGAGGUAACGUGCAGAGGGUCUGUUGUGUAAACAUUGCAUUGAACAUGACGUGCACAGAGCCCAGCAUUGAUGUCAAGAAGAAACUGGGAAUCAAAUUCCUGUCUCAAAAUGCCAACGCUGAUCGUAAACAUGCAAAAACGCAAGCAAAACACAUGCAACUAUUAGCAUUUUUAAGUACAAACUUUUAAGUUCGAUACAAAGAAUGAAUUCUCCUACUCUUUAUGUAAAACCCACGAUUUGCACAUUGUUAUUACUACCAUGUCCAAAAAUGUGGUGGUAAUGACAUUUUCAAACUGGUCCAGCUUAUUGUAAUCGCUGAGGAAUAGCUACAGCUGUACCUUUUUGUCCCAAAGUCCCUUGUACACGAUUUUGUGCAAAAUAAUUGUGUUGUGGUGGUAGGGAAUACGUAUUCUGAAAAAUUUUGAAGCAAAAGUUAUAAAUUUGCCAUGCAUUCCUUUUAUUCUGCCAACUUUCUCAGUAUUUUUCAAGGCAUUUCAUGGUGACCAGGGGCAUCAUUUAUAAAAUGUUGCAUAGAAACCAUCCUACAUUUGAUUUUUCAUUAACAUAUAAAAUAGCAUCAGUCAACGUCCAAAUCCUUAACUUGAGAAUGGCGAGUGGCAAGAAUUGCUAAGAUUUCCAAACACCUGCAGUACUCCGACUCUCUGCCAUAAGGAAAAGUGCGUAUGUCUGCUCAGACCCUGACGUGGCGGCGCUGUCAAAGACUGUUUUUAUAAAUAUGAAUGUGUCCACCUAGAAAUACCCUAAAAACCACCCAGAAACCCCUAGUAACCAUAUAGAAACAUCUUGUUAAUCACCACGCUUGUGAAUUUUUCACAGAGAAACACCAGAAAAUAUAAAAAUCUUUUUAAAAAAAUCACUCCAUCACUCAUUGCCCAUUUUAGCCUGUACAUUUGUGCAGAUAUUUACUAUUAUAAAAGAUGCACUCAUAUUUUCUUCCCAUAAAAUGGCAUAAAAAUCUUAAGAAAUCCUGCACUUUUUCCCAGUGCACUUAUGCAGUUAUUUAUAAUUCCUAUAGGCUCACUCCAUCCCUGUCCUCCCUUAUGCAGAUCGGAUCAGCACAUCACUGUCCACCAAUCACAGGAGAUCUUGUGUUGCACUGAGCUCAUGCACUGACUCACCAAUCACAUGAUUUAAAAGGAACUCCUGAUCUGUUUUUACCCCUCCCUUUCCUGCUUUUCCUUUGCUCUUUCCAUUUCCAAUAACACGGAGCCUGUUCUUCCGGGAAAGAGAGAGGGAGCAGAGAUCUGAGGUCUGAGUGUGUGUGUGUGUGUACGUGCUCGCAAGAACAUCAAUUCCCUCUUUUUCCUCCAUGAGGUCAGACUACAUUUUGUGUUGCUGAUCUCAACGCUGGAAAAGUUGGUGGCAUGCGCCAAAGAGUGAGGGUGUGCAUGUGUGUAUAGACCACUGAAGUGACUUCAUUGUCUGCUUCAUUGGACUGCUGCUAUUACACGUCAUUAUUGUUUUCCAUGUAUGGUCAUUUGUUGUGCAGAUCUUUGUGAAAAGAUUACAAAUCAGCCCAAAUGGAGGGGCUUUCCAGCACUAAACAGAAAGGCGCUUGAGACAAAGCAAAAACAGUGUGACAUCAGAGUUCUGAGGAGCUGGUAGAAGCUGCUGUCAUGUGAUGCUGAGUCAAGAUGAGCUCAUGAAAACAAAGCACCUGACAUGCAUGUUUCUCUCCAGAUGUUUGAACUUUAUAACCACAUGGUGGACUUGCUGAUCUGUUCAUUACAUUUAUGCUGAUGUAAUUUACAGGAAAGGACUCUUAAAUGCAAAUACUAAGGGUUCGUAGUGUUUGCUAAAGCCCUGUUCACAAUGACUGUAAUUAAAUAAUUUGAUGUUGCUCUGUGCUGAUAGUGCUAGUAGUCUUUCCUACUGAAGACUGUGCUGUAUCUGCAUUUCUUUUGUUAAUUGAUGCAUCACAUCAUUGUUAAUUUGCAUAAAUAUUGUAAAUAUUUGUUCUCGAUUGUUUUGAUUUAUGAUCUUUAUGAUUAUGAUUUAAUUAAAGCUGCAGUCUGUAAGUUUUGCCUCUUUGUCGCCAUCUCUGUUCGAAACCUGCAAUUGCAGUUAUUUCUGGAAUUAUCAUCUUUACGUGGGUUGUGCCUCGGCACGACUCCUCAGCGCGGAUGAAUCUCACAUUUUGUUGAAUGUGUGGCUGUCAGUAACCGCACCGGUGGAUACUGUACAUCUACUUCGGAAUCACAGAUUGUAGUCUUGAAGUAUGACCAAAAUAAGAUUUUUCACUGGAAAAUGUCAUCUGAACCUGCCACAUUUGUUCUUACCAACUGAAAAAAAAAGCAUCGCGUCAUACCAUACCAUACAAUCCGCCAUCUAAAUGAUAAGUUUAAUUAUUCCAGCUGCUGUGAGAAAAGGCUAUAAAUGAUCCACCUCACAUGUGAUAUAGCCUAUUAGCUGGGACUCAUUCUUCAUGUAAACAGACGUGACGUAAUGACGCAAAGAUGAACAGCGGCAUGCUCGAAUUUCCCGUGGAAACCCACCAGUACUGAUUUUAUUAUAAAACAAGCUUACCGUUGUGAAUCGGGCUAAGGUAAGGAUAGUUAGUAAGGUAAUGAUAGUUUUGAAUACUGGCUGGUUAUGUACUUGCUCAAAAAUUGAUUUUGGAUAAUUUUUAACCAAAAAAAGUUACGGACUGCAGCUUUAAGGUAGUAAAUAAAAUAAAAUAAACAGACAAAGAGACUACAUAAUAAAGAAUGUGCAAAAAUAUGCUGAACCAACAAUGAAUUGCCAUCUUAAAUCAAGCAGGGUCACAGAAUUAAAUUAUUAAAUAUAUUAAUUGCAUAUAACACUUAAUGGACAAAUAAUCAUUGCAAGUCAAGGCGCAUUAAAGCACAUUAUAUAUGUAACGGAGGCCAGCUAGUAGUCGCUGUGUGAGUAAACCUCACUUCUCUGAUCUCAAAAGAUGCUCUAGCGAAUGACGCUCUCUAAAGGUUGCAGCCUUUAGCUCCUUGUUAGAGCAUCAGACUCCCACGCCGGAGACCCAGGUUUGAGGCCUGCGCAGGGGUGCGUUUCCCGAACAACGAUGUAACUCGCUGCUUCACUACCAUAGUACGAUGCAUCGUUGAACAAAUCAACUAGCUAGUCACGACUGUUUCCCGAAACCGUAUUGUCGCAAAUCUGUCGUUCAACCAUGUUGGUGAAUGACGUCACGCAGGUGGUGAGAAAUAUCUUUUUUAAAUGAAUCCAUAUGAGAUCGAAUUAAUGCUAGAUUUUUUGCUAUAAAUUACGGACAUGGCAUUAGAGGACUAAUUCUCAUUUUCCUCAGUUAUUUUGCUUUAUUUCCAGAUUAAAUAAAAUGCUUGUUCUUACGUAAUAGAGCACGUACGCACAUGCGCACUCUUCAAAAACGGUGCUUUAAAUCUCUUGACAAACUUCAAUUUGUAUAUAUUCGAAAUAAAGGAUAUACAUUGUACUUAAUGUCAGCUUGCUUAUUAUGCUCAAGAUAAGAAUUUAUUAAGUCCACAUGUCAUAAAAACAAGAAACUAUGCUUCUAACCACAGCUCGAGAGCUGUCGUUCCAACCACACAAGUUUGCGAUGCAGUUUGCGAAUGUUCGGUUGAACGAUGGUUUCGGGAAACACCAAAUCGUUGAACUAUGUAAGUAACGAUGGAACUUGCGAUGUUAGUUGGCUGACGAUGCUUUUGGGAAACGCACCCCAGAGCGGGGCGAGUAGGACCUGGGUGAGGGGUUACAUAUAAUCCAACCUGAUAUUGCGAGAAAAGGUAGCUAUUAAACAUAACCGCCACUGGGGUGUUAGCAGAUUGUACAAAAAUGUAUGAAUGAGAUUGGUCAAAGUCACAUUAAGGCCCGUUCACACCGAGAACAAUAACUAUAAAGAUAACCAUAACGAUAACUCUAUUAGCUUCCACACCAGCGGACGAUAUCGUUCUGUUUAUUAUUCUAAGCUCGCGCUGCAGUUUUGUCGUCUGCCACUUUAAAUGCUCAAGCUUGAAAAAUAUCAUUCAGAAAGUGAUUCCAACGAUACAUUUUCUCUGUGCCAUUAUCGCUAUAGUUGUGGUGUGGACUCUGCUAAUCUUUUAUAUUUAGAAUAUAUUUAUUGUUAUAGUUAUCGUCCUUGGUGUGAACGGGUCUUUAGCCACCAAUUUGCCCAAACGUAAAAUAGUCACAAACUGCAGUGAGAUUGUGUUGGUAUAAUCUCCAGAAUAUGCAUUGCAUUUGGGGAAGACAUAUUGGGUAUUAUUAUAGUCAUUAUAAUAGGUUAUUAAAAUAUGUACAUGUUUUAUUAUUGGGUUGAUGCAUCACAAUGCACAAUGCGUUUUUAAAUCUUUUAUCCAUACCAUACACCCUGGUGACCACCUACAACUUUGGCAUUGUAGCAGAGGUUUUGCAUGGGCUGAUUAUUUUUUGCAGUUCCAUUUGGUGCCACUAGUGGUGUACAAAUCACACACUGCACCUUUAAGCACUCAUGCUUUAGUUUUAUUAUGUUGCAGAAAUUAAAGAAGAACUACUGCAAGCUGGUGAUGAAAUAUCCUCUUUCUUUGAAACAUGCUACUGCUAGAGGAGAGUGUGAUUUCCUUUCCCAUGAUGGACACGUGGAACCAUAGACACACACACACUCACUGCUUCCUGUAUUGGAAAGUUAGCCGGUGUCACAAGAGAGAUGGUUCUGGUCACGGUGACAUUGCAAAUCAAAGUCACAGUGAACACCAUGUGUGCAGUGUCACUCUGCCCAGAGCGUCUGUGUGUGUGUGACAGUCACAAAUCACAUGCUCAUGCUGCAGUCCUGCGCCUGAAUAAUUUACUUUGUAGGGUCGAACUGAGCACCUGUUGCUUAAAAACAUUUGAAUACGUCCAGCCUCAGGAACACCCUUUCCUGUAUGUACUUACAGAUCCUAGUGUGAUGUACAAAACACAUCAAGCAGAACCAGCGCCUGCAAUGUUCUGCACACCAGGACUGACUGUAAAUCACCUGCUUUUGUGAUUCAUUUUUAAAGACAGGUUUAAAUCUGAAAGUCACACAUUACAGCAGCACAUUCAAAUCAGUGAUCCCAUAUAGUCAGAAUGAUUUAUGCACAUUUUGAUUCAGACUUUCGCUUAAGAUUUAGAAGAACGAGAUUUGUAAUUAAUUGUAUUCUUAUCGUAAUUUCGGUCAUACCGAGCAACCAUAGAUCACAGGCUGAUUCAAAAAGGUAUUCACAAAAAUCUUCUGGAAAAAAUAUCAUUAUCACCUGGCCAUUUUUGGCAUACUACAUGACCAGACAAAAUUUUAGAUAAUGAAAUUAACCUUAUGAUCUAUAAAGGCUUCUGACUGAAUGCUUGAAAUUAAUUUUGUAGAAUAAUAUUAAUUGCACUUAUGUAUGAAAAUUGCUUGACAAAACUUGAAUUUAUUUAUUUAUUUAUUUUCCAAGCAUUUAUUUAUAUAUAUGGGUCAUUGACGAAUAAGGUUUUUAAAAAUGUUUAAAAAAAAACCUAAUGGGGAUGUAAUUAAUUUUGAAGUUUUAUUAAGUGUUAACAAUGAGAUUAUGUGGUUUUUAUAAUCAAUUAACACUGCUUUUAUCAUUUUUUACAAGAUGAACAAAAUUUGUCACCAAAAAGUCAUUCAGUUUUACCAAAAUUUCGAUUUUACCAAAUGACACUUUUGGUUAUACCGAAUGACAGUAUUUUCAAACAAUGCUUACAGGCUGAUAUCUAGCUAGCUAGCAAUCAAACAUUUUAUAUUUAGUACAAGUUUUUAAAAUAUUACAACAUUUUCCCUGUUUUAUAGCGGUUGUACCGAAUGACCUGAUGUUUCGAGACAUGCGUAUGAUCAAGUGAAAACAUUAAUUUUUCAAAUAGUUAAAAGAGAGUUAGUUACUUUGCUUCAUGACCAUGUGGUCCUUUGCAGGUGUCUGAAUGAUGUCACAUCCUGUCACAUGAUAUUGACCGCAUGACUUGAUCCAAAAUGGUCCCUUUAUAUUGGUUACUCCGAAUGACAUCAAUAAAAUAAAUUUUUCCAGACAUUCUUUCUCAUAACAAAGCAAUGACUUCUACACAUAAUUUUAAUUCCAUUUUGCACUAUGUUGAUAUAUGAUGUUAUAAAAUCAUGCCCGAAUUAAAAAUAUAUACAUUUAUUGCAUUUUAAGAUAUUUUAAUCACAAAUGAAAUGGCUGUAUUGGACUUUGGACGGUUAAACCGAAUGACCUUUUGACACUUCAGAAUCUUUAAAAUACUUUAUGUGUAGCAAAAUAUAAUUAAAAUCUUUUUGAUUCAAUAAAAGAGAUCUAGCUGUACUACCUACAUACUUUGGAUGUCAUAUCUUUGUUUUUUAUUAUUAUUAAGGCCUUUGGACAGAAAAAUGACCCAUCACGUCAUUGACCCAUAUAAUUAUUUAGAAGAAGUAGAGUAAAUAUUAAAGGAAAAUAAGCCUAUAUAAACGUUCAGCAUAUGGGAACUCUUUCAAUAAUUUAAUAAUUCAGUAAGUUAGUGUGUCUACAUGUUUGACUGGUAGUUUAUUUUCAACAAAUUGUGGUUUGGAAUGCAGUAAUUCUAAUCUUGCAUACUAUGUAUAGUAUGCAAAUUGUAACACAUAAACUCUGUUCAUAUUUUUAAUCUUAAAUGUGCUGUCCAUUAAUUAAAAAAGCAAAUUCCUUGAAAAAUUAUAUUCAUCAACUGGAACAAUUGUUUAAUUUAAAGUAAUAUUAGGUCAUAUUUUCUUGUCCUAUUUUUGAAAAGGACUUCCCAGAACAAUUAUUGUGUUAUUCUUCCACAACAUCAGCCUUUUUUCAUAUGUGCCAACUUUUGGUAACACUUUAUUUUAGGGUCUUUAACUAGUUGCUUAUUAGCAUUGGCUAUUUAUUAGUACUUAUUAAGGACAUAUUAAUGCCUUAUUCUGCAUGACCUUAUUCUACAUUCUUAAUUGUACCCAAUACCUAAACUUACCAACUACCUUAUUAACUAUUAAUAAGCAGUAAAUUAGGAGUUUAUUGAGGAAAAAGUGUUACCCAACUUUUUCCAGUGGGUGUUUUUUGUUUUUUACUACCCAUUUUAGCACAAAGUCCACAUCAGGAUUAUGGGAUAAGAUUCUAAAUAAUGGAAAAAUAAGCAUUUCAUUACAAAGACACUCCUUUGCCACCUUAAAAACACACUCACACACACAUAUCCACACCUAUGAUAUCUAUUCUGUAGCUUUACACCUGUGUACAGGUUUACUCGGAAAAGGAGUCUUAUCUAAUCUGUGGUUCUUGCCAUAAAGAUUUCCACCUUUUUCCAUUUCCCAAGUGCUGGUUUUCUCUGUUUCUGGGUACAGAGACUCACUGGAAACAAGGGUUUAAUGGUGCAAGCAGUUAAACCCCAUAGACAAACAGGUGUGGCUGCAACUGCACUGAGAAUUGGGCCUCAGAAAUUCAUCCUGAGGUUUUUCUCACCUCCCUCCGCCCUCUUUAUACAUACUCGUUGACCAUUUGCAUAUAGUGCAGAGUGUGCAAAAAAUUAAGCUUGAUUGUGUACGUGGCCUCAGUGACCUUUGACCUUUUAGAACCCAGAUUGCAUGCGUGUCAUCCUGUCCCGCCUGGCCACUCCUUGCAUGCCGGUCUUUUCAGUAAUGGAGCUGUUAUGAGGUGAUAUCCAGUCCUUAGAUCUGAUUAUUGAAAUAAAUGUGGGAGGGCAUGUUUAAUCAAAGAUCAAGCAGUUUAUUUAAGGACAACAAUGACAGCAGUACAACAUAAUCUGUACAGUUUGCACAACAUGUACAGUUUUGAUGCCAGUCCUUUUCAAGUAUGAACAUUUCCUUUAAUCCGACACGGGUGAGCGCAGUGCUUGGAGAGUGCUCCAGGCCAAUGGAAGCAUGUGCUUCCUUACGCAAUGCUGGCUUGUUUACAAACGUCCAUGUGCUGGAGUUCGUUAGGGCAUCGAUCAAGUUUAGAUAUACACUUGUCCUGCAGUGUAUACAUCUGUGUGAGAGAGUGCUUUAUGGAUGCAUGUGUGUUUAUCUGUGUGAAUGAACGCGGUCUCCUGAUAGGGACAAUUUCUAGGAAUCAGUCUAGGAAUACUGUGAACCUUUUCACAGUGCACAGUCUUUUACCUGGAAAAGGUUUCUGUGGGAAAGGCAUGUCCAAACAUGAAACUCUAUUCGCAGGCACUCUGUACUUGAGGCCAGGCAAUUAAUCAGGAAUUGUUAUAUGCAGAUCUGAGACCAGUUUUGGCACAUUGCUCAUACAAAUUUAUAUAAAAGUAAAGUUUGUUUGAGGAGACAAACAUUGUUUCUGCAAAAACUGUUUCUGCAGCUGUCUGGCUGGUUAUCUAGUCCAGGAGAAUUAAUCUCUCCUGCAGGUUACUCUAAUAAUAGUCCCUGCUGUAAAAACUCCCAAAAAGAAAGGUCACCAACUGGCUGCACUAUUCACUUUUAGCUGCAAUGUUUACAUUGUCAUGACUAUUGUUUUAUAAUGAAACAGUGUUCCUAGUUCAGGUGGCAGAAUAUGGUGUUAACAACAUCAGGGCCAUGAGUAUUUUAUUCCUUGCUUGUGUUUUAUAUCGCUUUGUAUAAAAGAGGGAAUACAUGAUAUCACUUCUACCUACCAAGCAACACUACUGCUUAUCUUUUAGGUUAAUUCUCCAUUCUAGAUCUUGCAUUGCAGGCACUUCCAUCCAGAGCAACUUGCAGUGCAUUCAAGAUACACUUUUAUACAUUCCCAGGGAUUUGUACCCAUAACCUUGGUGUUGCUAUUAUUGCUAGCACCAUGCUCUAAUGUUUGAGCUACAAAAAUGCUAAGUGUGAAACGUCAACAUGUGACUCAACCUCAAAUUGUGCCAGUUAUUGAGGAGGAACUUAAGCCAUUUCGAGGGAACAGAAUGUCAUGAAGACUUGAUAGUGACCUCUUUGGACUUGGAGCAAUAAGCAAUGAGCAACACAUUAAACACCAACCGGAUAGCAAUGUCCCAAUAACAUUCUACCACAGGCCCUGUUUACAACUGGUAAUAAGAUGUGUUUUGGUCGAUUGGAUCACAUGUAGACGAGGGAGACACAUACCUGUUUACACCUGGUGCUUUAAUCCAUCUCUUUUGUCCACUUUCAACCACUUCUGUCCUGAUUUCUUCAAGGGGAACCCUAUGGGCUUGUAAAUGUAUGUUUUUUUUUUCAGAUCUUUCAAUCUAAUGGAAAAAAAAGCUCACGCAAUUUACAUACGAACACGCUCGGAGACAAUGGAAAAACACACGGAGAGCAGCAGCACUGUUUCUGAUCUGACAGCCGCAAGACCAUGCCGAACGCAGUGAGUGUGUGUUAGAAAUCAGGAAUAGUGAGAGAACAUUGUGCUUGGUACAUUUUUCGUCUUCAAACCAAACUUGGGUCUCCAGCCAACGAAGUUUAAAUCCCCUCUGGCUAGAGCACUUCUCAUAAUGUUUACACAUUAGGUCAAUAGGCGGAGUGUAAGUGGUCUUUUGUGGCUUUUCGAACACGAGCGUCUACACUACGAAAGCAAUCCGUUCAAAUGCGUUUUCGAUGACCUGUGGAAGUGGUCGGAAAUUGGUUUAAAGUGGACAAGCUCAAAAUGUUUAAAUCCAGUUUACACCUGUAUUUAGCCUUGUCCAGUUGUGAUCCAAUUGACCAAAAACGCAUCUUAAAGGGGUGGUAUAAAGCCAUUUUUACAAGAUGUAAAAUAAGUCUCUGAUGUCCCCAGAGUGUGUAUGUGAAGUUUUAGCUCAAAAUACCCUACAGAUCAUUUUUUAUAGCAUGUUAAAUGUUUUGAGGGUGAGCAAAAACGCUCAGUUUUUGUGUGUGUCCCUUUAAAUGCAAAUGAGCUGCUGCUCCUAAGAAGAGGACGGAGUUUCAAGAGCUUGUGUUAACACAUAGUGUUAGCAGCUCCGAUUACCUCACGCAGACUCACUGAAAAUGUCAGAAACUGUUCAGCCUUUUAUGUUCAAACCGAAGUCGGACAAUGAUGGAGAGACUCAAGAAGAAGUGACAACAUGUAGAAAGAAACAGGACGUUUCUGAAUGGUUAGUGGAUAAAUUUAUGUAGCUGAUGUGGGAUAUCUUUUUAAAGAAGAAAUACACAAACUGGCUAACUUUUAUUUUAUUUUAUAGUGUGGCUAAUUGAGGGCUAGUGAUCAGUUUACUUUAAUGGUUCAUUUAGGUCCAUAACAUUGUGUUUAAUACAGAGGUCUGGCUGCAGUCUGAUUGCUUUUGUCUAGUACCUGUAAAUGAAGCCAGUCAAGCAUUGGCCCAAUUACAUGCAUUUAGCAUAGACACACACACACACAACCUCACCUUCAUUAUCUUGCACUCAAACUGCAUCUGCUUUGGCCAGUUUCAGACAUGCCUUGCAGUCCUGGGCUUUUUGAGAUAAGAUGAAGGCCUCAGAUGCUCUUUUUUUCCCCCUUGAAAAUCUACUCUCUCCAUUCAUUCAACACUCGACCGGAAAUAACCCGAAACUCAGACGUAACCCUGCAAGAUAUAUGACCAUGCAUGCGCUUCAGUUUUGCACUCAUCUCAGAGGGGAUUUCAGGAUUUUUAUCCCUGCAGGAAGCACGCUGUCCUUUCUUCAGAUGUCCUCUUCUGCUCUCCUUACACACUUGGGAAGAAUAUGAGAGGGUUCUUCACAGUGUGUGCUACUAAUUGGUAGGUACACCCAGUACAGACGGAGCAGGAUGGGAGAAACUGUUUUCCAGGGAGAUCGCUCCCUUGAGGAACAUUUGAAGGAAUUCCUCAUCCUUGCGUAUCUGUCACACUUCCCAGAUGACUACCUUUGCUCAUUCCUCCUCGCAGGAAUCAACACCUCUACAAAGGCCCAGUUGUCCGGGCAGGGACCUCGAGGGAGCUUCAAAGCAUUUCUGGAGUGGUUGCUGAUAUCAUGUGGAUUGCCGUUCACCGUCAGACCCGUUGCACCAGCCCCACUUCCAACCCGGUGCCCAGCCAGAAACCGGAGAGCAGCAGCAUGUGCCCUCCGCAGAGAGCCCGCCUCUACCACAAUGCAUGAGCCAGAGCUGUUAGGAACGACUGAGCAAGACAUCGCCCCAGAGCAUGAGCCUCGUGUGUCUGACAAGAUGUGUGAGCCGGCUGCAUCACAACCCAUGGGAUUCCGUGAAGAGUCUGAGGGUGCAGAAUGGAGAUCCGCCCACACUCCCGCCACUGAGAGUGAGUUUCUGGCCACCAACAUAAACAAUUAUUUUGUUUUUGGAGAGGAAGAUCCCCUACCCACUUUAAUCCCACCAGAUCCUGUCUGCUCUAUUUUGAACUGACUGGUCCCGCCCAGCAUCCCUCUCCCACCUCCUCUCCAUAUGUCUGCCCAGGAUUUGGUGUGUUCUGUCAUUCCCUCUUUUUCUCCUCAGCCUCCACUCCAGUCCUCAGCCACUCCUGCCACCCUGUUUUCACUGUCUCCCAUCCGCCUCCAGAGGCAACACCUUGUGUGUGCUGUGAGCCAGUUUCUCCUGGGCCUGGGGAUCCCUUGGCUCCACCUCUGGCCUCAGAUCCCGUUGUUCCACCUCGGCCCUUCACCCUGACUCCUCCGCCUUCGCUCCUUCCCCUCUCGACUCCAGCAGUGACCUCCAUCGGUGCCACCUGGGUCGAGCAUUACCUCAACAAUGCCUUGCGGGCUGUCAACUGCUCUCCAGCCCUCCACCCCAUGGCUCUGUUUGGCUCCGCCCUCCUGCAGGAUCCGCCUCAGCCCUCGGUCGCACCAGCUCCACCUUAGACUUCCGGUGCCCUGAUUCCAUUUCGGGGGGUCAUCGCUGAGGCUCUAUCGCAGUGUCACUCCGCUCUUCGGCUAUGCUACCAUGGCCUCUCUCUCCAGCAACCCCAUCAUUAGACAUCAUCCUGGCUGUGUCCAGGAUCAACAUCUGGCCGUUCCGGCUGAGUGUGUUGAAUUAAAGACUUUUGGAACCUUCAUCCUCAUCUUUGUGCAUUUGUAUACAGCUAAUGUGACAAAUACUUUAAAAAAAAAAAUUUUUCUUAAAGAGAAAAAAAAAAUAUGUUGAGUAAGGCCAGAAUCUGACUCAGGACUCAGGAUUCAGAAUUCAACAUAAUUUGCUGUGCCUUCAGAAGACUGUAGUUAUUGAAUUAGAUCUAAGCGAUCAACCAAGAGUUCAUUUUUAGAGUUGAUUAGAUUGUGAAGAACACAAAAUUGUGUUGUGUAACAUCAAUGCAGUCUCACUGGAGGAGUCCCACAGUACUCUCUGUGUGUGGUUCAAGUAUACCCUACGUUAUGGGGACAAAAUGUCCCCACAAAGAUGGCAAUAUCCGAAAUCCUUGUCCUCGUGGGGACAUUUUUUUGGUCCCCAUGCUUAAAAAUCAUACUAAAUCAUGUUUUUAAAAAAUAAAAAAAAAAUCUACAUUUUUAAGUAGAAAAAGACAGUCAAAACUUGCCUUUGAAGUAAAGAGUGGGCUAAGGACCCUUGUGACACAACUGUUACUCACCCUCAAACAAACACAAUGUGAGCUGCGUGUAUAGUUCUGUUGAAUUAAGUCUCAUUGAGGGAUAAAGUGACCCUGUCUCAUGCUCUCAUGAUAAUGCUCUCAUUCGUUUGUACAUAAAUGUCACAUUGAGUGUCACACUGGAGCUUUGUGACCUCUUGAGAUAAACACGCACACUAGAGAGACAGUGCAUUCUUCAUCUGAAGAGCUGCUUCAGGAUGAUCUGUGAGAGAGAGAUCUCACAGUCCAGUUGGACUUUUUACAAACAGUAGAUGAGAUCUUGUGGGGAACUAAAACAGUGUACAGUACAGUACAGUACAAUGUUCGUUAAAAUAAAUCUCUUAUCAUCUCUUUCAUGUUGUUUUCAGUCCAUUUUUAUCAUUGAAAAAUGUUAGAUAGAUGAUAGACCCAGGCAACAACUAAAAAGCAAUGUUUUAGCAAUCAGCUUAAGCAUCCUAGUAACCACAUGCUAAAAAAACCACAAAAAAAACAGAACAUCUUAGAUGUGUAACAAUGCCCAAUGCCAACUGGAACACCCUUGAGCACACAUAAAUGCUCUGGCAAAGAAUCAAAACACCAUAGCAACUUUUAAAUGGACAAACAUAGUUGUUUCUAAUUUUUUUAAACUUUUUUUAGCCAUAACCUAAAUUAUUUACUUUAUUUGGUAAAUCAAAGUUCAUUCAAUACAUAAUUUCUAUCAAAAUAAUUGUUCCAUCACAAGACACUGGAUUAAAAUAAAAGGUUUAAAAAAAGCUCUAUAAUUAUGACUGUUUCCUUGGAAACCGUGGGUGUUAAUCUUGGUUGUCAUGUGACUUUCUGUUGUAUGUGUGGUUUCUGUGGUUACUGGUGGUCAGACUGCAAUGGUCCGUCCAGGGGAAAGUGCUGACUCAGAGUUCCCAGAGACCCACAGUUUACAGUCCCGCUCACCCCAGAGUAAACGUGAAUCCACUGGUGAAACCAUGACCCAACCCUGCAGUCUGUGCCAAGAGGGAACCCCAGAGCAGUAAAACAAACCCAGUCAGGCUGAGCCAACCGCCCCCUCCUUCAGUCAACCAUUCCCAAACAAUACAGUUGCCAGGGCCCUCUCCCAUAGCAACCAGCAAACCGUUGUGUCUGGCUAUCUGAUAACAAACAGGGCUUGACGUAGAAGUAUAAGAUUACAUAAAGUGAGUAACGACUUCCAAAAUCCAAUUUAUGAAGUAAAAACAGGAUUUUUGUUUUCCUUCUUUCAUUUCACUCUGUUUCUCAGGAGUAUUUUCCAUGGAGAAAGACACAGCUGGAGUCCUGCCCCGCUGACCUACGGGCCACUGCACUAAUUCCUUGGAAUGAAUUUAUCACAUGAACUUCCUUCAACACAAGAAUGUUCCAGUGAAGUUUGGUGUGGUUGAAAUGUUUGAGAAAGAUUACAUAAAUAAGUGUGUAAGGAAUAAUUCACCCUUUGCUGGUAGUUUGAUUAACAGGCGAUCUGACCAAUAAUGGCGCUAAAUCCGCCAAUUUGUCUGACAAACAAACCAGAUAGGAGAGUUGGUAAAUUAACGCUGAUGGACUUAAAAACUCUCCCAGUCACACCGUGUUGCAUGCUGGGGCAGCGCCGCCAUCUUAGGAGGAUCGCCCUCUACUACUGAUACUGAAAUUAAUACCAAUACCUGCACCUUUUGUUUUGUUUUUGCCUUUAAAUGAAUUAUUCACAUUCUCCAUGGCAUCGUUUGCAGGGAAGAGAAGCUAUUUUAUUGCACUGCAUGAUAAUUUUAUGUUUAUAUCAAUAUAUCUGGUUACCAUGAAAACAGUGUCACUCGUUGGGUGCUCGCUGCUGCUUCUUCAGCCGUCACAUGCUAGAAAUGUCCAAAUAAAAAUAUGUGUUCGACAAGCUGAAAGAAUUCGAAUUCCAAUUCUUUGUUUGAAAUGUUUAAAUGCAACUUAAGUUUGAUUGUAAUCAUUAUAAAUACUCACUUUCCCAUGGCCACAGAUGGGAAUCAGAGAUUGUUGGUCACAUUCAGCAGACAAACAUCGACACACUGGUUUUUAUAUAUUUAUUUCAACUCAAGACAACCAAAAUCAAAUCCCUAGAAGCUUGUGAACAGUUUUGCAGUGACUGUGUGCAAGUUCUGCUAAUUUGCAAGCCGACAAACUGUAACAGUCAUGUUCGCAAAGGUAAUUUUAAACAACAUACCUUCUAAUGUUAAUUCACGUUUAUUACUAGUAGGAAGAGAUGAUCGGUUCAUGUGCUGCUUGAACUGAGGUGCUACAGUGAUCUGUCAUAGCACAUUAAAGAGCCACAAUUUCUUAAAAAAACAUGACAACAUUUGAAAGCUGAGACUGCUCUGUCUUGUCUGUCGGCGCGUUGUCAGUGUCUUCUUUGCUUUGCGAUGUAUUUUUCACUCUGUGAGAGCACUAUGCACUCUGCAGUGUCUUUUUUAUAAACAUGAAUUCAACAUACAACAAAUAAUAAUACAUACAAAAUGUAAAAAUAUACAAUCUCCCUGACUUUACUGCGUUCUUUUAAUUAAGCCAAGAGGUUGUGCCAUGAAAUAUCGAUCAUCUACUGGUCACAUGUCUUUACGUGAUGCGAAUUUGCUGCUCAGAGUUCACCAAACCUGAACUUUGGAACGCAGUGAAAUGUGAAACUUUUCUCAUGAGCUUGCGUUUACGGUGUGACGUAUUCGCAUGUGUAUGAAUGGAAGUCAAUGGAAUUGCGUGUGUGAAUUUCCUAAGCCUGUGUGUCUCUCAACAGCGUUUCUACUAAUAACGAAACUGUAAGUUUGUCUGCUUCAAGAACAGCGCUGUUAUUGCCUCGCUAGUAAGAAAUGUCAUGUAGCUUUUAAGUUGCUAAACUAUUUUAACUGAUAAAAUCGUCCGAGCAGUGCUGACAACAGGUUUCUGUGCGAGUGUGAGUCCGUACUGUAUGACCCUGUCCCACAUGGCACACUUCAUGUACACUUUCGUUUUUGUGGACUUACAACGUUAAGUCCAUGAGACCGUAGGAGGUCCCAUUUGUCAUUUUAGGUUGCAGAAGUGUGCUCGCGAGUACCCCCUUUGUGGUCAAUAUGCUCCCUCGAUGUGCACUUUUGUCGAGCAUGCACUGAAGCGAGCUCCGCAGCAGACUUCUUCCCGACAACCAAAGUGGCGUUACGUCACAAAAGUGCGGACUCGUAGGAAGACCACUUUGGGACAGGGCCUAUGUGUGUGCGUUUAGAGGGAGAGGGAAAAAGCUUUCGUACAUAAUAAAAUGUAAUUUUAUGGCCAAAACACACACACACACACACAAACACAAAAGGAAAUAAUUUGUCGUUUUUAUCCUGUUGCUUACUAUAUUUAUUUGCUUGGUCAGUGUAGUGUUGGGUUUUGGUUCUUUUGCUGUUGUAGGCUGUAAGGACCUUUUGAAAUGACUGACAUCAUUUGGCGAAGUGAUGUGGACAUGUAAUGCGAUCAAGACCAUUAUUUCUGUGAUUGCAAACCAGAAUUUUCAGCAGCCAUUACUUCAGUCUUCAGUGUCACAUGAUCAAUUUAACGAAUGUCUGCUUUUUUUUUAAAUAAUAAUAAUAAAGUAUUAAUAAAAUCUUACUGAUCUUACCCAUACAGAAGAUUCAAAGAUUAGUAAGAAUGGCAAGAAUUAGCGACAUCAAGUUGCAAAUCUUGGAAUUGAUAUAGCAGAGUUGGGAAUGGCAUUAACUUUGAACAGCUGAGUUAUUCACAAGCUUACGCAACUUCCCCUGCUAAAACAGUUCCAUAGAUUAGAUUACGCCAGAAAACAAACAUCACUCUCGAAAAAUAUCCAGCUGCAUUCAGAUAUAUUUAGUAUACUGUGUGUGAGAGUGAGUGUAUGUGCAUAUGAGAGAAGAAGGGGACAAGUUCCAUCUACAGCAGGCUGUUUGGGCGGCAGCCAGUAGCCUGUGUAGUACAGUACAGUACGUCUUGCCAUUAGGAAGUGGCUAUAAAUAUCAAGUAGAAUAGAAGAGCUGCGGGCUAUUCUAGAAAAGGGUGUGUUUGUUUUGAUGUUGCUAGAUGCGUCUGUUCUCUCUGGGUGUCCCUUGAUGAUUGUAAUUGGUUUCAUGAUGCAUGACUUUGCAUUUCCUCCAAUAAAGAAUUCAUCUAAAAUAUUAAUUUAUUGCAUCCAUUUCUGUUGCUUUAA